UACAGAGGUCGCAAGCGUUGUUCGGAUUCAUUGGGCGUAAAGGGUGCGUAGGUGGCGCCGUAAGUCGGGUGUGAAAUUUCGGAGCUUAACUCCGAAACUGCAUUCGAUACUGCGGUGCUUGAGGACUGGAGAGGAGACUGGAAUUCAUGGUGUAGCAGUGAAAUGCGUAGAGAUCAUGAGGAAGACCAGUGGCGAAGGCGGGUCUCUGGACAGUUCCUGACACUGAGGCACGAAGGCCAGGGGAGCAAACGGG
rnacentral:rRNA from 1 species